rnacentral:rRNA from 1 species
AGGAUGAACGCUGGCGGUCUGCUUAACACAUGCAAGUCGAACGGAGUAGCAAUACUUAGUGGCGGACGGGUGAGUAACGCGUGAGAAUCUACCUUCAGGACGGAGACAACAGUUGGAAACGACUGCUAACCCCCGAUGUACCGAAAGGGCAAAUAUUUAUAGCCUGAAGAAGAGCUCGCGUCCGAUUAGCUAGUUGGAGAGGUAAAAGCUCACCAAGGCGACGAUCGGUAGCUGGUCUGAGAGGACGAUCAGCCACACUGGGACUGAGACACGGCCCAGACUCCUACGGGAGGCAGCAGUGGGAAUUUCCGCAAUGGGCGAAAGCCUGACGGAGCAAGACCGCGUGGGGGAAGAAGGCUCUUGGGUUGUAAACCCCCUUUUCUCUUGGGAAGAACGCAAUGACGGUACCAGAGGAAUCAGCAUCGGCUAACUCCGUGCCAGCAGCCGC